CUUGCAACAAGUAGGGCGGGACACGAGAAAUCCUGUUUGAAGAUGGGGGGACCAUCCUCCAAGGCUAAAUACUCCUGAUUGACCGAUAGUGAACCAGUACUGUGAAGGAAAGGCGAAAAGAACCCCAGUGAGGGGAGUGAAAUAGAACCUGAAACCGUGUACGUACAAGCAGUGGGAGCCCGAAAGGGUGACUGCGUACCUUUUGUAUAAUGGGUCAGCGACUUAUAUUUUGUAGCGAGGUUAACUGAAUAAGGGAGCCGAAGGGAAACCGAGUCUUAACUGGGCGGUGAGUUGCAAGGUAUAGACCCGAAACCCGGUGAUCUAGCCAUGGGCAGGUUGAAGGUUGGGUAACACUAACUGGAGGACCGAACCGACUAAUGUUGAAAAAUUAGCGGAUGACUUGUGGCUGGGGGUGAAAGGCCAAUCAAACCGGGAGAUAGCUGGUUCUCCCCGAAAUCUAUUUAGGUAGAGCCUUAUGUGAAUACCUUCGGGGGUAGAGCACUGUUUCGGCUAGGGGUCCAUCCCGGAUUACCAACCCGAUGCAAACUGCGAAUACCGAAGAGUAAUGCAUAGGAGACACAC
rnacentral:rRNA from 1 species